rnacentral:rRNA from 1 species
GAUGAACGCUAGCUACAGGCUUAACACAUGCAAGUCGAGGGACCGGCGCACGGGUGAGUAACACGUAUCCACCCUGCCCUUUACUCGGGGAUAGCCUUACGAAAGCAAGAUUAACACACGCUGUAAAGGAUGGGGAUGCGUUCCAUUUGGUUGUUGGUGAGGUACCGGCUCACAAAGCCUUCGAUGGAUUUGGGAUCGGAGAGGAAGGUCCCCCACAAUGGAACUGAGACACGGUCGAAACCCCGACGGGAGGCAGCAGUGAAGUAUAUUGGGCAAGCGGCGUUAGCCUGAACCAGCCAAGUAGCGUGAAGGAGCAAGGGUUAUGGGUGGUAAACUUCUUGUAUAUAAGAAUAUGUAUUAUAUGAAUAAGGAUCGGCUAACUCCGUGCCAGCAGCCGCGGUAAUAC